rnacentral:lncRNA from 1 species
AUCGAACAAAAGAACAGCCUUUUUUUUAUUAGAUCAUUUGUCAAUUACUUUAAUUUGUGUGCCUAGUUACGAUCUUAGUUACAAUGUUUAUCUUUUCCGUAUUGGUUUGUAAUCGGAUAUUUUAGCGUCACCACGCGCAUAUAAAAGCUAAAUUAGCGUCCCUAUAAGCCAGAGUUUCGCAAGAUUUCGCCUUGAACAGCAAUAACCUCGUCUUUCGUUCCAAACCUUUGGCACAAGCGGGACCGAUAUUUUACGAUCGUGAUCGUGACCGUGAUCUAAAUAAACACCGUUGAUAGUCA